AUUGAACGCUGGCGGCAGGCCUAACACAUGCAAGUCGGACGGUAGCACAGAGAGCUUGCUCUCGGGUGACGAGUGGCGGACGGGUGAGUAAUGUCUGGGGAUCUGCCCGAUAGAGGGGGAUAACCACUGGAAACGGUGGCUAAUACCGCAUAACGUCGCAAGACCAAAGAGGGGGACCUUCGGGCCUCUCACUAUCGGAUGAACCCAGAUGGGAUUAGCUAGUAGGCGGGGUAACGGCCCACCUAGGCGACGAUCCCUAGCUGGUCUGAGAGGAUGACCAGCCACACUGGAACUGAGACACGGUCCAGACUCCUACGGGAGGCAGCAGUGGGGAAUAUUGCACAAUGGGCGCAAGCCUGAUGCAGCCAUGCCGCGUGUAUGAAGAAGGCCUUCGGGUUGUAAAGUACUUUCAGCGGGGAGGAAGGCGAUGUGGUUAAUAACCGCAUUGAUUGACGUUACCCGCAGAAGAAGCACCGGCUAACUCCGUGCCAGCCGCCGUAAUAC
rnacentral:rRNA from 1 species